AGCAGACACUCUUUAGUGCAGUCCUGAUUUCUGUAUUAAUGAAUUGAGAAGAUGACAUCAGGCUCUUAGCAUUCAUAAUAAAGCCAACGUGGUGUUUCACUGCAAUAUGACAUCUCAAGUAAUCUUCUUAACAGAUGCAUAGAUGGCGGUCCAGAUGAUUAUUGUACUACUUGUACAUAACCUGAAAGCAAGUAUGGGAAAGAGUGCUCUUCAAAAGACACACAGAAUCACAGAAUUUGGUGAGCUGGAAGGAACCCACAAGGAUCAUCAAGUCCAAUUCCUGGCCCUGCACAAGAACCCCAGGAAUCACACCAUGUGCUUGAGAACAUGGUCCAAAUGCUUCUUGAACUCUGACAGGCUGACGCUGUGACCAUUGCCUGGGGAGCCUGUUCCAGUGCCCAACCACCCUCUGAGUGGAGAACCUUUUUCUGAUAUCCAGCCUAA